CAGCCGCCACGGGAAUACGGAGGAUCCAAGCGUUAUCCGGAUUUAUUGGGUUUAAAGGGUGCGUAGGUGGCCUGUUAAGUCAGGGGUGAAAGACGGUAGCUCAACUAUCGCAGUGCCUUUGAUACUGAAGGGCUUGAAUGAACUGGAGGUAGGCGGAAUGUGACAAGUAGCGGUGAAAUGCAUAGAUAUGUCACAGAACACCAAUUGCGAAGGCAGCUUACUAUGGUUUUAUUGACACUGAGGCACGAAAGCGUGGGGAUCAAACAGGAUUAGAUACCCGUGUAGUCCCUGUCUCUUAUAC
rnacentral:rRNA from 1 species